rnacentral:rRNA from 1 species
UUAUGGCUCAGGAUGAACGCUGGCGGCGUGCUUAACACAUGCAAGUCGAGCGAAGCACUCUGGAAGAUUCCUUCGGGAUGAUCCUUAGUGACUUAGCGGCGACGGGUGAGUAACGCGUGGGCAACCUGCCUUGUACAGGGGGAUAACAGUUAGAAAUGACUGCUAAUACCGCAUAAGCGCACAGCAUGGCAUCAUGCAGUGCGAAAAACUCCGGUGGUACAAGAUGGGCCCGCGUUGGAUUAGCUAGUUGGUGGGGUAACGGCCCACCAAGGCGACGAUCCAUAGCCGGACUGAGAGGUCGAACGGCCACAUUGGGACUGAGACACGGCCCAGACUCCUACGGGAGGCAGCAGUGGGGAAUAUUGCACAAUGGAGGAAACUCUGAUGCAAGCGACGCCGCGUGAGUGAUGAAGUAUUUCGGUAUGUAAAGCUCUAUCAGCAGGGAAGAAGACGACGGUACCUGACUAAGAAGCCCCGGCUAACUACGUGCCAGCCGCCGC